UGUCAUGGCUUGCCACCAUCUAUAUCUGC
rnacentral:piRNA from 1 species